AGAGUUUGAUCCUGGCUCAGGAUGAACGCUAGCGACAGGCUUAACACAUGCAAGUCGAGGGGCAGCGGUGGUGAAGGCUUGCCUUCACCAGCCGGCGACCGGCGCACGGGUGAGUAACACGUAUGCAACCUGCCUGCCACAGCCGGAUAAUCGGGAGAAAUUCCGUCUAAUACGGCAUAAUGCAUCGACGGGACAUCCUGUUGGUGCCAAAGGUUGAUUCCGGUGGCGGAUGGGCAUGCGGCGCAUUAGGCAGUAGGCGGGGUAACGGCCCACCUAACCGACGAUGCGUAGGGGUUCUGAGAGGAAGGUCCCCCACACUGGUACUGAGACACGGACCAGACUCCUACGGGAGGCAGCAGUGAGGAAUAUUGGUCAAUGGUCGGGAGACUGAACCAGCCAAGCCGCGUGAGGGAGGAAGGUACAGAGUAUCGUAAACCUCUUUUGUCAGGGAACAAAGACGGGGACGCGUCCCCGGAUGAGUGUACCUGAAGAAAAAGCAUCGGCUAACUCCGUGCCAGCAGCCGCGGUAAUACGGAGGAUGCGAGCGUUAUCCGGAUUUAUUGGGUUUAAAGGGUGCGCAGGCGGUCUGUUAAGUCAGCGGUCAAAGCCCGGGGCUCAACCCCGGCCCGCCGUUGAAACUGGCAGUCUCGAGUUGGAGAGAAGUAUGCGGAAUGCGCGGUGUAGCGGUGAAAUGCAUAGAUAUCGCGCAGAACUCCGAUUGCGAAGGCAGCAUGCCGGCUCCACACUGACGCUGAGGCACGAAAGCGUGGGUAUCGAACAGGAUUAGAUACCCUGGUAGUCCACGCAGUAAACGAUGAAUGCUGGCUGUCCGGGGGGGAUUGACCCCUGGGUGGCGAAGCGAAAGCGAUAAGCAUUCCACCUGGGGAGUACGCCGGCAACGGUGAAACUCAAAGGAAUUGACGGGGGCCCGCACAAGCGGAGGAACAUGUGGUUUAAUUCGAUGAUACGCGAGGAACCUUACCCGGGCUCAAACGGGGAGUGACUCAGGCAGAGACGCCUGUUUCCCACGGGACACUCCCCGAGGUGCUGCAUGGUUGUCGUCAGCUCGUGCCGUGAGGUGUCGGCUUAAGUGCCAUAACGAGCGCAACCCCCGCGUGCAGUUGCUAACAGAUAACGCUGAGGACUCUGCACGGACUGCCGGCGCAAGCCGCGAGGAAGGCGGGGAUGACGUCAAAUCAGCACGGCCCUUACGUCCGGGGCGACACACGUGUUACAAUGGGUGGUACAGCGGGAAGCCAGGCGGCGACGCCGAGCGGAACCCGAAAUCCACUCUCAGUUCGGAUCGGAGUCUGCAACCCGACUCCGUGAAGCUGGAUUCGCUAGUAAUCGCGCAUCAGCCACGGCGCGGUGAAUACGUUCCCGGGCCUUGCACACACCGCCCGUCA
rnacentral:rRNA from 1 species